AUUGAACGCUGGCGGCAUGCCUUACACAUGCAAGUCGAACGGCAGCACGGGAGCUUGCUCCUGGUGGCGAGUGGCGAACGGGUGAGUAAUGCAUCGGAACGUACCCGGAAGUGGGGGAUAACGUAGCGAAAGUUACGCUAAUACCGCAUAUUCUGUGAGCAGGAAAGAGGGGGAUCGCAAGACCUCUCGCUUUCGGAGCGGCCGAUGUCGGAUUAGCUAGUUGGUGGGGUAAAGGCCUACCAAGGCGACGAUCCGUAGCGGGUCUGAGAGGACGACCAGCCACACUGGGACUGAGACACGGCCCAGACUCCUACGGGAGGCAGCAGUGGGGAAUUUUGGACAAUGGGCGAAAGCCUGAUCCAGCAAUGCCGCGUGCAGGAAGAAGGCCUUCGGGUUGUAAACUGCUUUUGUACGGAGCGAAAAGGCUCUCUCUAAUACAGGGGGCUCAUGACGGUACCGUAAGAAUAAGCACCGGCUAACUACGUGCCAGCCGCCGCCGUAA
rnacentral:rRNA from 1 species